AUUGAACGCUGGCGGCAGGCCUAACACAUGCAAGUCGAGCGGAUGAAGGGAGCUUGCUCCUGGAUUCAGCGGCGGACGGGUGAGUAAUGCCUAGGAAUCUGCCUGGUAGUGGGGGAUAACGUCCGGAAACGGGCGCUAAUACCGCAUACGUCCUGAGGGAGAAAGUGGGGGUCGUUGGAACCCACUCUUUCAGAUGAGCCUAGGUCGGGUUAGGUUGGUGGGGGGGUAAAGGCCUUACAAGGCGACGAUUCGUAACUGGUCCGAGAGGAUGAUCAGUCACACUGGAACUGAGACACGGUCCAGACUCCUACGGGAGGCAGCAGUGGGGAAUAUUGGACAAUGGGCGAAAGCCUGAUCCAGCCAUGCCGCGUGUGUGAAGAAGGUCUUCGGAUUGUAAAGCACUUUAAGUUGGGAGGAAGGGCAGUAAGUUAAUACCUUGCUGUUUUGACGUUACCAACAGAAUAAGCACCGGCUAACUUCGUG
rnacentral:rRNA from 1 species